rnacentral:rRNA from 1 species
GACGUAGGGUGCGAGCGUUGUCCGGAUUUAUUGGGCGUAAAGAGCUCGUAGGCGGCUCGUCGCGUCAGCUGUGAAAACCCGCAGCUUAACUGUGGGCUUGCAGCUGAUACGGGCGGGCUAGAGUUCGGUAGGGGAGACUGGAAUUCCUGGUGUAGCGGUGAAAUGCGUAGAUAUCUGGAGGAAUACCGGUGGCGAAGGCGGCAUCCUGGACCGACAUUGACGCUGAACGGCGAAAGCUAGGGGAGCAAACGGG